GUUAUUUUGGACAGUCUGGAGUGUCAUAGUUGCAAAUUGAAAAAAAAACACAAGUUGCAUGCCGGGUAAUUUUUCUCACAUGGCAACUGGAUAAGAGGUCAUGAUUAUUCUGUUCCCCGGUUAUGAUUUUCAAAAAAUAACCUGUUAUACUAAGUUUUUAACACUGAACAGAUGCGUGAAGAACUCACUUGCAAUAUAUAUAUUCUAACUACCAUGAGGAUAUUACGCUGAAACAAUAAUGACGAGUUUAUAAUUUCGGUUUGAUGAGAUACUAGAGCUACAAUCUUGGACAUAUUAUUGAUUGCAUGAGACUACUUUUCCCCUUUAUACAAAAUUCGAUAGAUUUUAUGCUAAUUUUUCAGAACAUUUAGCUCAGGGAAGCCAUACCACCUUUUCAGGACAAGGCCGGAAAAUUUGUUCGGACGUGUGUGCGGCCGCCAAGGCAAACUUUGACAAGUGUUCAAGAAAUACUUCUACAUAAUGAAGAUAAAUAUUUGACAACAUUCUGUGCAACAAAACCCUCAAGGGAAACUGUUAAAGGAAAACUGUCUGUACCAGUGUAGGUAGUACCAAUGUGAAAAUGCUGUGCUGAGUGGUUAUAUCACUACCUUAAAGAGUUUCUGCUUGUUUUUGUUGAAGGAAAACUCGUUGACCCUACACACGAGAACGUAAACUUGUCAAGAAAAAUUUGACAAUAAACGUGGCCAUAUUAAAGUGUAUCGAAAACCGGCAUAUUGUGUACCAGGAUACUACUACACACAGUAAAAAUUGUCACAGUAAAAUUUGUUAAUAUUGCAUGUAUACAGACUCACAUAGCAAAUAAAACUUGCCACAUAAAAACUUCUCAUAGAAAACGUGCUCGUCUGUAACC